AGUAAAAUGGCUGAAUUUUAGGUAAUAAAUUGUAAAUUUAUUUAUGGGUGAAUACCCUUUUGCU
rnacentral:tRNA from 1 species